GGCACUAUGGCCGAGUGGUUAAGGCGAAAGACUCGAAAUCUUUUGGGCUCUGCCCGCGCUGGUUCAAAUCCUGCUGGUGUCG
rnacentral:tRNA from 2 species